rnacentral:lncRNA from 1 species
CCUUGUUGUCUUAGGCAUUUCUCCAACUUUUUUGGUUUGAACCAAACAUAAUUCAAGAUUCUCCAUGCCCAUCUCAAUACAAAGAUAAUUGUAAGUGAAAAUAUUGCAAUUUUUAUGUUGUAGUAUGAUAUCUCCAUAUUGAAUGAAGGUCUUAUCUUACACUCACUAGCAUACACUUAGCUCUAUUUGGUCUUUAUUAUGGCAUUAGUAUCCUCUAUAUACAAAUCUAGAUUAUGAGAAGAAAGUGAUAUUUAAAUUAAUUAAUUAACUAAAAGUCUUAAGGGGUCUUUUCGUUCGUGAGAUAAGGUGAGAUAUCGCAUACUUAAGUUUCGGAUUAAUUUAUACUUUCAACCAAAUAAAGUGUAAAUUUACUCAUGAAUAUCCUACUUUAUCAUAUCCAACUUGAUAUUAUUUUAUCCCAUCUCUCGUGUGGAAUAAAUUAGUUCAAAAAUUAUAUACAUCACACAAAAUUAUAAUUCAGAAAUAACUUAAUGCGUGUAUAAAUUAUAAUUCAGAAAUAACUUAAUGCGUGUAUAAAGGUGAAGAAAGUUUUAGGCCUUGGUGACCAAGAAAUUAUAUAGUCCAAAGAAGCAAACACACGCCUUACAAAGUUCAAAGAAUUCCCUAAUGCAUUAUUGCACAUCAUUUUCUAUAACAAUCUUUUUCUUAUCUAUAAAUUUGUCUAGAUAGAUUAGUUGACUUGUCCACACCUACUAAAUCUUCUAAAGAAAAAUAUAUUUUACUAAUGCAGAUAUUUGAAGCAAAAGCAAUAAGGGAACUAGAAAUUCAAAAUUUAAUGCCACAUAUUUGAACCCUCGAAUGCAAAUGAACCUUGAAUUCAAACAAUUUGAACCUUGAGUUAUGUUGAACCUUGAAAUCAAAUAAUUUGAGCCUUCAAUUAAAACAAUUUGAACCUUGAAAAUUUUAGUCUUUAAUGAACCUUGAAUUAAUUUGAAAUAGGUUAGUAUUUAAAAAUUUGUACACAUCCAAAGUUCAAUGUCGUAGAUGUCAGUUGAUGCCAAGUUAAAGGAUAAUGCUUAUGUAUUAUGUCAAAAUAUUCUAUAGUAGAACGCUCCUUAAAGUGCUAGUGGACAAAAUUAGGAGUGAACGUCUAGAUGUGUUUCCCUAAUUAUUGGGUCAUCGUUCAAGUAGGAAACUCACACUUCCAACCGUUCAUAUGUGAAACUCACACUCUCAAUAAUACUUACUAAUAAGAGGGAAUGAGGAGAAAAAGCAGGCAACUCUCCGUCAACAUGCCUGCUUCUCCUCCCUGCUUCAUCAGCUCCUCUAUAAUUUUACUAUACCAUCUCUAAUUAAUUAUUAUAAAUUAUUUAUGUAUUAAAAAAUUAAUUAUACUUACUAAUAAGAGGGAAUGGGGAGAAAAAGCAGGCAGCUAUCCGUCAACAUGUCUGCUUCAUCAGCUUCUUCCUCUGUAAUUUUAUUAUAUUAUUUCUAAUUAAUUAUUAUAAAUUAUUUAUAUAUUAAAAAAUUAAUUAUAUUUAAUAAAAAAAAAAGUAAAAUAGAUAUUUAUGACAUUCUGCUUCUGCUGUUUCACCCAUAAUUUGACUAUAUCAUCUAUAGUUGAUUAUUAUAAGUCAUCUAAAUACUAAAAAAUCAAUAUUAAAAAUUUAUUAUCAAGUCAUCAAAGUUUUAAAAAAUUAAUAAUAUUUAAUGUUAAAUUUACUGACGUUUUAUAUGAGGCCCAUUUAAUUUUUUUUUUUGACAAAACUGUAUUGCUUCUAAUUAGUUACAAUAAGUCAUCUAAGACAUGUCUACUUUGCUGUUGCAAUCGUGAUUUUAGUAUGUCACUCCUAAUUAAUUAUUAUGACAAUUUAAGUAUUAUCUCGCUUAAAUUGAGAUUUGAGUAAUUAUUUUCUUUAAAAAGAUAAAAAAAUAAAAUCUUAUUGAAAUGAAUAAAUAAAUAAAUCUUAUCACUUCUAAAUAGUUAUUAUAAGUCAUUAAUGAUAUGUCUUCUUUGUUGUUUCAAUCGUGAUUUUACUAUGUCAAUUCUAAUUAAUUAUUGUGAUCAUUUAAGUAUGGUGUCGCUUAAAUUGAGACUUGAGUAAUUAUUUUCUUUUAAAAAUAGAAAAAUAUAUUUUUUAAAAAAUGAAUAAAUAAAUAAAUCUUAUAAUUUAAUUAUUAUUAUAAUAUUAAUUUACUAUAAAUAUUGGGCCCGUGGAUUGCACGAGCUACUCGUAACUAGUUCACAUAUGAAACUCAAAAAACUAGAUAAUUCGAGUGUGUUUUUAAGCUUUUUUUAAAUCCUUAAUUUUUUUCUUAUAAUAAUUUAAUAAAAUAAAAAAAUCAAAUAUCAUUUACAUGUAUAAAAUAGUCAUGAAAUUUUUGAAAAAAUAUCAAUUAUAUAAAAGACUUCUAGCUAUAAUUAAAAUAUCCCAAAGGGUGUGGUGCGGUGGAUGGGGCUAAUCUUCCCUUAACCAGAGGUAUCGGGUCUGAGUCCUAGGUAUGGAAAAAUUCUUGGUAGGGCGCUUCCCCCAAAAUAGAGUCUUACGUGGCUCGAAUCCGAAUUAGUCGAAUUCCAAUGCAAAUACCAGACACCGAAUGAAAAACCAAAAAACAAGAAUAUAUUUAAAAUCAGCAUUACAUUUAAAAAGUAAAAAAUAAUAAAAAAAAAAUAUCCCGAUACAUAGAUUCUAUCGAAAUUAUCUCAAAACCCCAGAUUGCCUUAAUCAAAAGAAAAUUAUUCGACUUCUUCAUCUAAUCCAAAUUUAGGUUCUCCUCUUUCCUUCUUAAUUAAGCUUCAAAUCUUAAUUAAGCUUUUAUAAUUUUUGAAUUAAUGCAAUCAAUUAUGGAGUAUCAAUCAUUCAUGAUGGACUUUGUUUUGAUAACAGAUUGAAUGAGCAAUCAAUUUUAAACUGAUGGCACCAAAAGAAAAAAAAAAAAAAAUUGGAACCACCUUUUCACGUCAUCUAUAUAUGCCACCACUCUAGGUGAUUUUGGGACAUGACGAGUAGUUAAAGUGAACCACGAAAGAUUGCUAAUGAUCUAGUUAAGGCACCGUCAACGAGGCAAGACUUUGGCAACUUUGUUUCUUCAAAACGUGGUCAGGUAUAUUGAAAGAUACAAUAAAGUUAUCAUAUUCAAUUUUAUUAGUUAUUCGUCCAAACUAAUAUGCAGAUUCAUCUAGAAAUGCUUUUGUUAUAAUGCUGGUAAUAAAGUAUGGAAGUCGAAUUUCUAUAUUUGUUCAAAAAUAUGUUUUUAAGUAAAUUUAACAGCAUGCAAAAGUUUUAGGGGCCUGUUAGAUUCAUUUCCUCGCAAUACAAAAUUCGGACCACCUUAUAUUCAUCUCGUUGAGGUAAGCAGUCAAACCCAAACACUAGGUGAUUAGGAACAUAAGGAAGUUACGCGGGGAACUAUUAAUAUUCUUGAUCAAUUUUGUGGCGGGGUUCCAAAGAUAUAUUUUGCAGCCAAAUCGAGGAGUUAGAGGGUAAAUAAGAAAGAGACCAUCAUUGCAACAACCAAAGACUUCAAAUCUUUGAGAAGAUGAUUCCCACUAAGAACUUCAAAUUUCCUGUGAGCAACAAAUGUUUCAUCAGAUUACAAAGUGCAACACUCAUUUUUCAUGAUAAAUAGGAUAUUUUUUUACCGAUCAAAUAAUUUUCCUUAUAUAAUGAACAUUAAUUCAUAUGCAUGUUAAUCUUAAAAUUCUUUACAACAUCAAAUAAUAGUAAAGAAGUACCAAUAUAUUAGUUUGAUGCCUAGCGAAUCUAAAAAUUCUUUACAAGAUCAAAAGAAAACGGAAAUUUCAAUGAAAUGGAGAAGUAAAAUUCUACGAAUCAAGCAAGGUCAUGAGAGAGAGAGAGAGUGAGUGACAAAGAGAAAACGUUCAAAACAAGGAUGUGAACUGUCAGAGAUAGCACCAACACAAGAAAAACAAGUCUUCAUCGAAGAUGAUAAUGUUGGUGGACGAAAAAGAUCAAGAGAGGUAAGUAAAUGAAGGCGUACAUUGAAGGAAAAGACAAUAAUGAUUGGGAGAUCGGUGGUGAGCAGAGAUAUUGGCGACGUAAGCAAGAAGGAGAAACAAUCGUUCACAACAAUGUGAAAGGAGUAAAUAUAGAUUUGGAUUAGAUAAACAAGUCGAACUUGAUAAAACCAUAAAUGUUUGAGAAUUCUCAGUUAGAACUCAGAAUUAGUGAAGCAUGUAUAAAAAUGAAGAAGUCCUAAUUAUGACAACUAACAACAUAGAAAGAAGUAUAUGCCAACAUACCCACAGAAGUAAAAAAGAAGAUUCUUUGUUUUCCAUCGGGACAAACUCAAAUCAGACGGUCCACGUCAAAUCUAUCAAUAAGCCUCUGUGGACAUCUAUGAUGUAAUCCACGUGGAUAAUUUAGAGACUUCCUUGAAAACUCCAAAGUCAAAACUAGGGAUUCUCUUCAACAAUUUAUGAUUUUAUUUGUGAGGAUCAAUAAUGAAAAGAGAAGAAGGAUUUAAAAUGAGUAGGUUACGGUCUUUAGCAAGCCUUCCAAGCUGCCUAGAUUGCAGCCUGCCUGCUGAAGACUGAAACAUAAGUAACACCCCUCCCCCUCCCCCCCCCCCCCCCCCCUUUUCACUCUCUCCAAUUUUAACUCCUUCUACUAUUUUCAUUGUUAAUCCUCAUAGAUAAAAUCAUAAAUUGGUGAAGAGAAUCCCUAGUUUUGACUUCGAAGUCUUCGAGAAAGUACGUCUCAGACGUCCACAUGCCCACAGAAGCUUAUUGAUAGAUGUGAUGUGGACCGUCUGAUUUGAGUUUGUCCCGAUGGAAAACAAAGAAUCUUCUUUUUUACUUCUUUGGGUAUGUCGGCAUUCAUGAAUUCUUCUUUCUAUGUUGUUAGUUGUCACUAUUUCUGAGUUCUAACUGAGAACUUCUCUAAUAUUUUAGCUCUUGUCCAAUCAUGUGGAAACACAAUAUUUCAGUGGCUAACAUUUAUGAUUUUAUCAAGUUCCUAACUUUGCUAUCAUCUUAACUCAGUAACUAAUAUUAACUACUCAAGAAGAUUUAUAUCAAGAACCAAUCUCCACGUGUCCUUCAAUCUAUGUUUAAUAUAUAGAUACAUUGUUAUGAACGAUUUAUUGUCCAACCUGUAUUUCCUCUUUUCUCCGUGUCAAUCUAUAUUUACUCAUUUAACAUUGUUGUGAAUGAUUUUUUCUCCUUCUUGUUUACUCUGCCAAUCUCUCUACCCACUACCGAUCACCCAAUCAUUGUUGUCUUUCUCUUUAAUGUACACCUUCCUUUGUUUACCCCUCUUCCUCUUUUUCGUCGACCAACAUUAUCAUCAUUAUGAAUCCUUGUUUUUCUUUGUCUCGGUGAUAUUUGUGAUAGUUCACAACCUUGGUUUGAACAUUUUUUCUCUAUCAUUCUCCCUUUCUCUUUCAUGACCUUGCCUAACUAGUCAAAUUUUAGUGCUCCAUUUCUAGGAAAUUUCCCUUUUCAUUUGAUUUUGUAAAGAAUUUUCAGAUUAGCUAGGCAUCAAACUUUUUUGGUUACUUCUUUGCUAUUGUUAUCUUAAUUAGCAUGAUGAUUUUCCUCGCUGAUCCACCUGGUGAUGAAAUGACAAACAUCUUAUCAAGACUUCCUAUCGAAGAUCUCAUGAAAUUCAGGUCUGUUUGCAAAUCUUGGUCUAAUCUCAUUAGAGAUCCUUGUUUUAUUAACAUGCAUAUGAAUCCACGUUCAUUACAUAAGGAAAGCUAUUUGAUCGGUAAAUAUAGCUUGGAUAUCACGGGAAAUGAGUGUUGCACUUUGUACUCCGAUGAAAUAUUUGCCGAGCACAAGAAAUUAGAAUUUCCUUUGUGUGAACCUAAUACAAGAAUAAUGACCGCCUUAGCUUUUGACGACAUCAUUCAAAGUCACUAUGUAAAGAAUCAAGCUUUGGUCGCAUGGAGGGCAUGGGAUCAUACUUAGAGGAGACGUUUUUAGCCUACCAUUGAUCAAACUCAAGUGUGGAAGAUUACUUGGAGCCUUGAAGACUUAAGGACUCUCGGGUUUGGACCACCUUUGUUGGUUCACGGUUUUGGUUCCCUUUACUAAGGGCAUUUUGGUCACUUAGCUUUAAGAGUAUUUUGGACAAUUCAUAUUAUCUUCCAACACACCAAGGCCACCCUUAGUCAUUAAGGGUAAUAUGUUCUUUUUGUCUACAUUUGUAAUAUACUAUAAGUAGUGCAUUUUAGGUCUUUUCUCUUUAGUUUAUGAAAGAUGAAAUAUUGAAACACUUAAAAUCCUCUCUCUUGAGAGUAGACCAACUUAGUGUAGUUCUAGUAUAGGGCUUGGAAAAGCUAACAUUGUUCUUUGCUUGGAAAUGGUGGAUCUUGAGGUGAGUUGAUUCCCUUGGAGGUCACUGUAAGAGUGUGGUUUUGAUUAUUACAUUCAUUAGGGGUUUUUAAGUUUAAUACACUCUUUAGUGCUUAAUCUUGUAAUAAUCGUGAUCUCACUAUCUAUCCUUUACUUUUGUUGUUGUUAUCUUGUGUUGUGGACUGUUUUGGGUCAUUUAUUGAAUCCAAAACUUGUGUUAUUAUUGUUGAUAUUGUUCAUCACGUUUUAUAGCUAUUUUGGUGUUGAAAUACACCUUUGUAUCUUGUAUUCUUGUAUUCUUGUUGUUGGUAGCGAAUCUGAGUGUGGUCUCCAUCUUGGUCCUCGAAUCCUUAAGAUUAGUGGACUGAUUUUGGAGUGUGAUUUCGUGUUUCCAUUUUCAUUCCCGUAUCAUUUGGUAUCAAAGCCAUAUUUUAUUUUGUUCUAACAAGAUCAAUCUUGGGCUUGAGACCUUGAAAACUACAAAAAAAAACUGAAAUCUGAAAAUUACAGAAAUAGUCAAAUCUGCCACCUUUGUGUUCUUGGCCGAAAAUUGUGUUCUUGUUUUGUCUUGGCCGAGAUUUGUUUGUUGUGUGACUAGAUCUAGUAGUUUUCUUGUUUGUUUUUUUGUUUCUAAUGUUAUUUUUCUUGUCCACUAACACUUUGAGUCUAGAUCUAAACUUGAUCUUGAACUUGUUGAAAGUUGUUGUUGUGAACAUAAGCUUGGCCCAUUGUUAUUGACCAUUGUUAUGGUGGACUGUUUUGGCCGUGUGGUUUCUCCUUGAUGUUCUAAACUUGACCAUGUGAUAUUGUUGUUACUUGGUGGCUUGAGAACCAUUUUGUUGAAGUUGUAGUUGUCUUGGCCAAGUGUUGGAGAUAUUGUUAUUGUGGAUGGGAGUUGGCCAUGUGAAAAUUGUUGGUGUUCUUGAAGAUUAUUAUUGUAGUUCUUGGUAUUGUUGUUGUUGUUCUUGAUGUUCAUCACCACUUUCAUAUAUUGUUGAAGAUAAAGUGAAUGCUAAAUCCAAAAAGUUGAAGGAAAAGGGUGUAUUAUUUGUUAGUUUUGAAAGACAUUACAACCAACAAGGACCUAUCAAUCAAGUCUCAACCACUUUCCAACACUUUUUCAUGAUUUAAGGAUCCAUGUUGUAAGGAGAAGUACAAAGAGUCAAGUCUUGAACAUUGAAAAAGGCUCCAAGACUUAUUUUUUCUCCUAAAACAAAUUCCACCAAUCUAAAUUAAUUUUUGACCAAGACUUGAACAUUUGAGAAUAACCACUUGACAAAACCGAACCAAUACGUGGCUGCCACUGCUACUGUUCAUGCAAUAUUUUCGAGCUCAAAAUUUUAGAUUAUUAGUUUCAUCUUAUUGUUUCAUUAGUUUCAUGUCUUUAUUCUAGAAUAAAUUAACAACUAGUAAUCACCUACUUAGUUGUAGAUUAAUUAUUGAAUCCGUUUCUUCGUGUCUUCGUUAUUUGUGUGCUUUUCUCAUUUUUAACUCGUAGUAACUUCUUUGUUUCAAGUUCUUGUGUCUUGAGUCGAUCAAACAAGAAUCUAUUCCGGCUGCCAAGUAGAAUUGACAUCUUAUUGACGACCGGAGUAUAAGCAACUUUCAAUAUUCGCCGCUCCAAAUUGUGAGGAUCAGAAAAGUGAGUGAAUACGAGUGUUGGUAAGGAGCUUUUACUACUAAUCUUGUUUGUUAAUUUUGUAGGUUCAAAAGGUGAUAUAAGGGAAAUAUGUCUUCGAUAGCCGGGGAUUAUUGUGACUAUAAUAGUGAGGGGUUUUAUGGAUACGAAGUUGAGGGAGAUUGUGGAGGCUAUGAAAAUAGCCAUGAUCGAAACUUGGGAAGAUUUGAAAGUUAGUGUUUUGAGGGAGAAAUGAGGUGAAUGAAGUGCCUGGUGCUUAUGGUGACUUUGGAGAUGAUGUAGGACCUCGUGAUGGAUCUUAUGAUGACGUUGGGGCAUGUGAGGAGUCCUACACUUCUCACUCCAAACCUAGAUUUGGUGUUAGGUAUAACCCUUUCGUUCGCAAAGCUUAUGAUAGCUAUGAUGAAAGUACAUGUGAGGAGUGUGAAGAUUUAUAUUCUCCACCUUGUAGUACUUCUUAUCAAGAUCGAUAUAGUGUGAAUGGUUAUACUAGCUCUAGUGGAGGUUGUUCAACGAGAAGAAGAGGGUAUGCAUCUCCAAAACCGAGGGGUACUCGUGUCCUUUAUAAUGUUGAUCCAAGAAGGAGUGUACACUCCGGAAAGGUGACCAUUUGUGGGAUACCGAGCUACCUCGUUGUGUUAAAUGAUAGGUACUAUAGAAACUACAUAGUUCCAUCCAUGGUUGACUACUUGGGGUUGUUUUGCGAGCCUUUACUCGUUCCAUACUUCUUGUACGGGUUUAAGGUUACCGAGAGGGUCAAAGUUGUCUUCACCCAAUUUGAGUACCAUGAGGAGGUAUGGUGUGAUAUUCUUCUAUUGACAUAUGGUCAUGUAUGCUUAGGUGUAGAUUGGUUUGCACAACAUAGAGUUCCAAAUGUGCAAAAUUGGCCUAAUGUUGUAAGAGACCGGGGGGGAAAUCACCUCAUGACAUACAUGCUGCCCGAGCUGCAAAAACAAGUGAAUACUUACUCCAAUCCGAAUGCUUAUGAGAGAAAAAAUAUUGAGAGGAGUAAGGGUGUGAAAGGUGGUAAUCCGAGAGUGGAAAAAGGAGAGGUUAUGUGGAGCGAAGCGAGGGGAUCGCCACCAAACCGAGCUAACAUUGUUUGUCCUCCUAAUUCUAAGGACAUUUACGUAGGUACCAACAUGGAAAGUAAUGGAGAUCAAUGCCAAAGUGAAGUUGCUGCCCAAGCUUAUGGAGGACCUUCACAACACGGCAAAGGAGAGUCGACUCAACAACUUCAAGGUAAAAUAGCUAACUCUUACACUUUUUUUCAUGUGAAUGAUAAUUGUGUGGCAAGUAGCCCAUUGAGUGUGAGUAGUAGAUUACUUACUUGUGAGUCUAAUGAUUCUUUGCCUUUUGUUAAUGAUGUACAUGUUGUGAGUGUGGAUACACUAAUUGAUCCUAUUGAUGACCAAAUUGACUCUUCUUGUAAGAUCGAUUUAUGUCCACCUAGUGUUAAAGCCUAUAUGUUGAACUAAAGUACAUUGUCUUGUGUAAUUGGUGUUGAUCAACCUAUUUGUGAAAAUUUUCCACCACUUGAGUAUGUGUGUGAUGUGAUUAAGCGAAAUCAAGUGAGUGAAGUAUUUGAAAAAGUUGGUCAACAAAAGGGGAGUGAACCCGAGAGCUAUUCUUGGGAUAAUCUUGUACUUGAAAUCUCUUUAAAAUGUGAUAUUAAGCUUUUAGAGAGUGCUGAAUGUGUUUGUUCUGAAUCUGCUCGUGAAAUAGAUCAUGCUCUCUUUAGGUAUAAUGUCUUAUUUGAAGAUGAUAUAAACACUCCUAAUGAGCCUAGUGGUGAAAAUGAAGGUAUAGCUUGCCUUGGAAUCUAUAGCCAAUAUGCUAACCCACUAUGGUGUUACAACAUUCCUCCUAAAGAUGGAAAUCUCUUUUUGAAAGACGAGAGUACUCUUAUGGAUAAGAAAUGUGUAGUCCUUCUUGAAAACCCGAGGACAAAUGUGUCAUUGACUCCUUGGGGUAAUGUUUCUAAAUGUGCAUCCUUGUUUGACACACUUGUGCCUAAAUUGCAUGAAUUCCAACUUUUGGAUGCCAAGUUGUCUAGUUGUUUAAAGGAAAGAAUGUGUAUUUGUUUAAAUACUUACUCUUUACCCGUGAAUUCCUUUACAUGUGAUUCUUUCCUAUACUAUCUCUUUGCCUAUGAUGAUGUCCAUGCUAGUUUUGGAUUUGGUUUAUGUCAAGGUAGGAAGUUUGUUGGUCUGUCCAUGUGUGUGUGAUAAUGCUAUAUGGAUUUUAUGGACUUUAGAACCAAUCGAAACACCCCCCUUGGUGUGGUCUUUUGACGAGAUAAAGAAGCAAUGGUGUCUUAUGGCUCAUAAAAUGAAGGAAGUUCUACCUUGUGGAUUAUUUGAUNNNNNNNNNNNNNNNNNNNNNNNNNNNNNNNNNNNNNNNNNNNNNNNNNNNNNNNNNNNNNNNNNNNNNNNNNNNNNNNNNNNNNNNNNNNNNNNNNNNNNNNNNNNNNNNNNNNNNNNNNNNNNNNNNNNNNNNNNNNNNNNNNNNNNNNNNNNNNNNNNNNNNNNNNNNNNNNNNNNNNNNNNNNNNNNNNNNNNNNNNNNNNNNNNNNNNNNNNNNNNNNNNNNNNNNNNNNNNNNNNNNNNNNNNNNNNNNNNNNNNNNNNNNNNNNNNNNNNNNNNNNNNNNNNNNNNNNNNNNNNNNNNNNNNNNNNNNNNNNNNNNNNNNNNNNNNNNNNNNNNNNNNNNNNNNNNNNNNNNNNNNNNNNNNNNNNNNNNNNNNNNNNNNNNNNNNNNNNNNNNNNNNNNNNNNNNNNNNNNNNNNNNNNNNNNNNNNNNNNNNNNNNNNNNNNNNNNNNNNNNNNNNNNNNNNNNNNNNNNNNNNNNNNNNNNNNNNNNNNNNNNNNNNNNNNNNNNNNNNNNNNNNNNNNNNNNNNNNNNNNNNNNNNNNNNNNNNNNNNNNNNNNNNNNNNNNNNNNNNNNNNNNNNNNNNNNNNNNNNNNNNNNNNNNNNNNNNNNNNNNNNNNNNNNNNNNNNNNNNNNNNNNNNNNNNNNNNNNNNNNNNNNNNNNNNNNNNNNNNNNNNNNNNNNNNNNNNNNNNNNNNNNNNNNNNNNNNNNNNNNNNNNNNUGGAAAAGCUAACAUUGUUCUUUGCUUGGAAACGGUGGAUCUUGAGGUGAGUUGAUUCCCUUGGCGGUCACCGUAAGAGUGUGGUUUUGAUUAUUACAUUCAUUAGGAGUUUUUGAGUUUAAUACACUCUUUAGUUCUUAAUCUUGUAAUAAUCUUGGUCUCAUUAUCUAUCCUUUACUUUUAUUGUUGUUAUCUUGUGUUGUGGACUGUUUUGGGUCAUUUAUUGAAUCCAAAACUUGUGUUAUUAUUGUUGAUAUUGUUCAUCACGUUUUAUAGCUAUUUUGGUGUUGAAAUACACCUUUGUAUCUUGUAUUCUUGUAUUCUUGUUGUUGGUAGCGAAUCCGAGUGUAGUCUCCAUCUUGGUCCUCGAAUCCUUAAGAUUAGUGGACUGAUUUUGGAGUGUGAUUUCGUGUUUCAGUUGUCAUGCCCGUAUCAGAACCGACUAAAAGUUUUGAAGUCUUUGGUUGUUGCAAUGGUGUUCUCUUUCUUCUUUACCCUAUAACUCCUAGAUCUAGUAGCAAAAUGUAUUUUUGGAACCCAGCCACAAAAGUGAUCAAGAAUCUUUGUAGAUCCCGCGUGCAGCUUCCCGAUGUUUCUAAUCACCUAGUUUUUGGGUUUGGCUACGUUCCUCAAUUGGAUGAAUAUAAGGUGGUCAUAAUUUUGUAUCAUGAGGAAAGGAAUCUCACAGACCCCCCAACACUUCCGCCUGUUGUUGAAAUUUACUCAUUGAAAACAAAUUCUUGGACAAAAAUUGAUAUUGAACUCUCAUACUUUAUUACCAGACAUAUGUCAAAGGCAUUUCUUGAUGGAUCUGCAUAUUAGCUUGCACGAAAGGCUAAUGAAUCUGAGUACGAUGACUUCAUUGUGUGUUUCAAUAUGGCUGGCCAUGUUUUUGAAGAAAUACCACUCCUAGUGUCUAGCUCUGAUGAUGGUGCAUUAACUGGAUCAUUAGCAGUCUUUCGCGAUUCAAUUUACCUAUUUGUGCAUGAUUCACUGGAGUGAUGGCAUAUAUGGAUGAUGGGUGAAGGUUGUUCAGGAAAGAGUUGGUGCCAUCAGUUUAAAAUUGAUUGCUCAUUCGAUAGCUGUUGGCCUCAAUGUUUUAUGAAGAAUGGCGAGGUGAUAUUCGAAUCCAUUGGGGGGGAUCUUUAUCUUUAUGACCCUCGGAACCAGCUAUUUGAAGAUCUUCACUUCCAAGGUAAUCCUGAUAAUAUAGAACUAUUUGCAUACAAGGAGAGCCUGGUUUUACUUGAUCAUGGAACCAAGCCUUGGCCUAUCAAAUUUCAUGAUGACAAGAAUGAAGAAUUUGAGAGGCAAACUUGAGGGUCAAGAAAGCUUCGCAGGAAAUGAGCCGGUGAAGUCUUCCUCAAAGGAAGUUUACUUUUGCCAAGAUAUAAGACCAAUGAUUCUGGUUUGCAGUUCAUUCUUUUAGAAUUGUGAUUCUAUUCCAAUAUAUAAGGGAAACAAACUAAAGAAAGCCAAACUUUGGUUACCAAUUGUCAUAUUGUUGUUUUUUGAUUAUUGUUGUCGUAUUGCACUCUAAGUUGUGCAAACUGAUAAGCAGUUAUACCCAUUUCUAAACCAGAGAGGCUUCAAACUUGCAAGCAACUAUUAAAUUUGUUGAAAGUUCCUCUAUUUUGGUAUGUCAAAUGUCUGUACGAUGAAUUAGGUCAUUUAGCUUUUGUUCUUUCAUAUUUUGAUAGUGAAAAUGUGUUCCAAUAAUUGCUAUGUUUUAAUGUUUCGGAAUGAUCUCCACAUUGAUCUCUACCGAGUCAGCUGCAUCACAUACCAAAUAUCACCUGAAGAAUUGUGAGUCAUAGAAGUGAGACGUCCUCACAAAUUACUUUUCUAUUAGGGAACUGUUUGCAUUCCCACCCCUCUACCCUUUCUAAGCUUUGCUGCUUCUGUUGAUUGUUUCUUGCAUCAUGAUGCCAAGGGACUGAGAAUCCUAGAUGUUGAUUGUCUUUGGCAUGGUCAGUUGGUGAAAGUCCAUUGUGUGGCGCUUUUCUAAGACUCUUAACAACGUUGCUCUUUAGUGGAUCAGCCUGAUUGGUUAUUGGAUUUAAGUCUUGCCAAUGCAUGUCUUUGCUCUUUGUUACAUGCUCUUUGGUGGAUCGGCCUUUGCAGUUCCAAUCCAUUUUCUACACCCCUCAUUCCUCUUUUGAUUGGUUGUUGCGCUGGUUGACAGGUCGCUUUUUCAUGCAGAUCUUCUGUAACUUAUCAGCUAGGAGCAGUACACCAGUUAGUCUUAUAAGUUUGUCGUAACAAUCCCUUUAUCGAUCAAUAGCUCUUUCAAACACAUUAUUAAUGGUUGUUGUUUGAUGUACAAUCCCAGUUAGGCCGGGCAUAAAAGGGGUGUUAGAGUCCCAUAUUGCUUAGGGAAUGGACUAGUGCUCUACUUAUACAGAACUGGGCACUGACAGGUGUUUGAGUGGGUUGAAGUCCCACAUUUAUUGAUGAAUAGACCGGUGGUCUGCUUAUUUAGACUUAGACAAUCCUCCCCUAUAAACUAGCUUUGGGAGUUGAGUUAGGCUUAGGUGUGAUAUGACUUGUUUGGGCUUUCAAUCCAUGCUCCGGUUGUGCUUGGCCUGAAGGGCUUUGUUAGAAUGAGUUAAAGCCCCAUACUGGUUAGGAAAUAGGCUGGUGCUCUACUUAUAUUGGCUUGGACAAACCUUCCCUGAGGCGAAACCAAGAACCUAGUCAACGCACUUUAAACAAGUCGAUUUUAGGAUGCAUUGGGUCUUGAAUAAAUUUAAAUAUUGAUUUUAAUUUAUUAAAUAACUUUUCUAAAACUCUAUAGUUAUUACGUCACUAAAUAUGUACCAAAAAUUAUAUUUCCGAUUAAAAUGACCAUGAAAUCUAACUAGGCAAAGUUGAAUGACCAUGAAAAUUAACUAGGUAAAGUUGAAUUUCUUGGUAGCUUCAUAAUUUCAUUGACCUUGUACGUCUCUUGAAUUUCCAUGCACUUUCAUUUGUCCCAGUUGGUCCUGUAUUCCACAGGGAAAGUUGAAUUCCAAAGAAAGUGACAAUGACAAAUGAAAGUGAACAAGAAACUACUGAGUAAUUCAGAAGAGAGUCAAAUGAAAGUGUCUUGACUCUUUUUAGUUGUCAAUUUGUGUGGUAGUCAAUGCACGAGGCAGAUUCCAAACACCACGACUCUGGGACGGAGCUACAAUAUGUAACUUGCCGGGGGUCUAUCGGAAACAGCUCUCUACUUCAUCUGAGGUUGAGGUAGUGGUAUCAGUUAAAUCAGAUGCAUCACUUUAAGGGACUUGGAAGCAAACUAUCAUCCUUUGCCUCUAAAGAAAGGCUGAAGGAAGAGCAGUACUAUUUGAAGAAUGGAAGUGCAGUGUUAGAGGAGUUUCUUACUUUAUGCGAUGGAAAAUGCCGAAUUCCCCUCCGUUACUUCAGUGCCAUAGAAAUCGAGAGGGCAACAAAAGAUGCAGAGAAUAGAGUAAUUUUCAUCAGCGGAAUAUAUAUGAUAAAGGGUUUACUAGACAAAUGCCGUGUUCUGGUUAAUUUCAUACUCUACUUUUAACAGAAAUGCCAGUGAUGUAUGCCGAGAUAUAGCAAUUACUUCACGGAUGAGCCAUCUUAAGAACGUGCUUAAACUUAUCGGCUGCUGCCUAGAAUAUGCAGAACCCGUUAUGGUGUAUGAAUAUGUUGAGGAGGCUAUAACUCUUGAUGAUUUACUUUCCAAUAAUGGUUAUGCUAGAAAUUCGUCCGUACCUUGGGAAAGUAGACUGCGGAUUGCCAAUGAGAUCGCUUCAGUAAUUGUUUUUCUCCAUAGUGAAUUUACUACGCCCAUCGUUUUCAGAGACCUGCACUCACAAAAGGUGUUAAUAGAUCAGAGUAGUGGUGUUGCCAAACUGUACAAUUUCUCAUUCUCUGUACCAUUGCCUCCGGGAGAAUUGAGAGUAGAAGCUCAAGAUAGUGUGCGCGGAACAUGUGGCCAUCCUGAUCCAGAAUACUGCUGCUCAGGUAUUGUUACUCAAAAAACUGAUGUCUACAGUUUUGGAAAUGUUCUCUUGCAGCUAUUGACUGGAAAGAGAGCGUAUGUACAUGAUGGUGUGAUCACAAAAGUUGGGGAAACGUACUUGGAAUCCAACAUUGAAGAGUGUGAUGUAAUGGAUAUAGCGAAUCCUGACAUUUUGGCUGGAGAACGUGGAAUCCAUGAGAUUCGACAGCAAUUGGAAGACUACUUUGAUCUUGUUAAGAGAUGCACGGUUACAAAUGGAGAUGAUAGACCAUACAUGAUUUAUGUUGCAAGGGAAUUACGCAGAAUUGAGAAGUGUUUUCGUGCCAUCAGUACUCCUGGUCUGAAUUAGAAGUUUGUUCUGCAUGAAGAGAAAAAUAGGAAUAAUGUAAAAUUCAGAUACAACUAUUAUAUUUCUGAAUUUAUGCAACUAUAAGUGUGAUUACUACUGUGAGAUUUAUUUUAUUUUCAUGUGUUUUUGAAGUUUGUUAGUGCACCAGGCUGACCUAGCAUUUCCAAUAUGAGAAGGAAACAUUGAUCAACACAUGUAGCUCUUGACAACUUUGAUUUGCUCAAUGUUAAGAAACAUUAACACCAUAUAAGCUCGGUCAAUGGUCAGAUGGGUUUAAAAUGUGUUUUAUUGAGCUUAAGGGUUCAGUUGGCAAGGGGUGAAUAGAUUGAUCCAGUUGACAUACGGAGAGGAGUACAAGGGUCUCCAAAGGCUGUUCCACCUUGUUUCUAUAGCUAGAAAACUUUACGAUAGGUGAACUAGAAACUUUAAGAGAAUCAAAGAGAGAACGAACCUCCUACAAGUAUAUAUCCUGCAAUGGUUUUGGAAUCCUUGUUGGUGUUUUGCAGUUGAUCUCGCAAGCUAAAGAUGCAAGUAUGGGUUUUUUUUGGCGUAGGUUGUGUGAAGGAGUUCCCACGCUUUGUUAGCAGAUGGUGUUACUGCUACAGUUGGAGCAAUUGUAGGAUCUAUCGAUGCCAUCAUUGCUUUUUGGAUCAAUUGAUCCUGACAGAACCAGAUCUAAUAAUUGGGAUUUGGUACAGUAAGAUCAUUGGGAUGGAGCAGUUAUGGUUCCAUCAAUAUGUCCCAUGAGUUGAUGCCCAUUUAGUUGAUGUCAAUUUGUGCUUUUCAUGUUUAGAAGUUGAGGUUACCUUGUAGUUUAAUAGGUAAUUGAGCAAAAGGAUUAAAUUGUACCACAUGAGUGGUGGUAGAAACUGUAAAAUCGCUGGCAUCAGCAGCAUCAAUAAUUGGAGCCAUAGAUGAGAAAGAUUAAGGAGAAUUAAAUGGAUCUAAUUCGGUGGAGCUUAUGCCUUAUGAGAGCUCUAAUACCAUAUAAAGAUUCAGAGAAGGAGAUCAAAAGAAUGAUUCUAUUAAAUCUGGCAGCAAGAUUUCAAAUAGAUACUAUACAACUAACUGGACCUAAAGUGCAUGUCACUAUCUGCAUAAUAAACAAUUUAAGGGACAAAAUCAUAAACAUAAAGUAGACUAAUGCUUAUGAAAAAGUACUCGGACCACUUUAACAAAACAAUACACAAAUUCACUUGUACAUAGCUACUGUCCAUCCAAAUUAAACCCCUAGUUGCAUAGCCUCGGCUGGUCCAGCAUUGAUGAAAAAAAAGAAAAAUUUUCCCCCUCACAUCAUUAAUCGAUGUAGGAUUAUUCAAGAUCAAGACCAAAAUUCGAGUCAAAUCGACCAACAUUGAGGAACAAUAAACACAGCACGACUCAAAAAACAAUACAUGACCACUUCUACAACUUGUACAUGAUUAAUUGAGCACCAUAUUGAGGUUGAAGCAAUAGUGGAUGAGGAGCAUGGGCAUAAGAUGGAGAGAGUUCAAAUGCAUAGUGUUUGAGAAUCAUGGCCAUUGCCAUUUUUGCCUCUAACAUAGCAAAGUUUUGUCCAAUACAUAUUCUUGGACCCCAACUAAAUGGAAAAAACACAAAUUGUCCUUUUGUUGCUUUUGAUAUUCCUUCACUAAAUCUCCCUGGAUUAAACUCCAUUGCAUCAUCUCCCCAUAUUUCAGUAUCAUGAUGCAACAAAAUUGUUGGUAAUAUGAGUUGCACCCCAGAAGGUAAGCACAAAUUCCCUAACUUCGUUUCUGUGUUAACCAUUCGAUUAAUCACAUAUGCUGAUGGGUACAACCUUAAGACCUCAUUAAAGAUCAUAGUCACCUAUAGAAUAAUAGAUCACAAGUUAACAUUGCCAUGAAAACAUACACAAGUUCCCCUUAUGUAUAUUUAUUAAAUAUCCGGUCAAAGUAUGUGCAAACUGAUCCGAAUGUUAUCGUAAUAACAAAAAGGUUCAAAAUAAUUGAGCAUAUAGGCAAUACUUACUACUUUUAGUUGAUUCAACUUGUCAUAAUCAAGUUCAUCACUUCCAAACACCUGUAGAACUUCUUCUCUAGCUCUUUCUUGCCAAAUAGGAUAUUUGCACAGUAAAAUCAUUGUCCAUACAAGUAAAGUUGAAGUAGUCUCUUGCCCAGCAAAAUAGAAUAGUUUACACUCUUCAAUCACCUCAUCAAUGCUCAUACCAAAUUUUUUAUGUCCAUGUUGUUGAAUUUCUUGUAAAUUGGAUGCCAAUAAUAUACCCAAUAAAUCAUCAUGUGUUUCUCCAACCUCAAUCAUCCUCAUUCUUUUAUUGAUAAUUCCUACUAUAAGUGUUCUUAAUUCAUUAACGAUUUGCAUCAUCCUUUUGUUCUUUUUUGUUGGCAAAAACCUAUAAUCCAUGAUAACACUAUUGUUAGAAAAAUUAAUAUAUAAGAAACGUGUUAGACUUUGAGACACAUAAACAUGCAUGCAUGCUUCUCGAAGAUAGUUGAAGUCUUUCCAAUGAACGAAUGGAAAAAUGAUAACAUAAAGAUUGUCUCCGAGAUUCAUCUAAGUCAUAUAAUAUUGUAGACUUGCAUAUAUAUUGUGUUAGGCUAUUACGAGCCAACUAGAAGAAACAAGACUUAGGUUACCACACACAGAUUUAUUAUAGAAUUCUUAUAUAAGGAAAUAAAUUUUACCUCCAUCCUGGGAUGUAUAUUGAACGUGACAUUUCUGAAAUUAUUUUAACCAAUUCUUUUUGAAGUUCAAAAAUCUUUCUUCCUUCUUCAUAAUUACUGCCAAAAGCAGUUCUUGAAAUUGCAUCACUUGUCAAAGUUUGAAGAUAUAGCCACACAUCUAUCUCCGAUCCUUCUUUUGAGACAACUUUUUUCCAUUUGUUCAACACGUCACUAAUUGUCAAUUUGAAUGCAGGUAGCAUAUACUGCACAUUAAUAAGAAUUCGAUUAGAGCCGUCAAAAUGUAUUUGGCCAUGAACCUGCCCCAACCGAACCCGCUAGAAUAGGGAUAUGUUAAAAUUUUUCAUCAUGCCCAUUUAAAACUGGGGCUUAUAAGCCCGACCCAAGUUAGACCUUUUUCAAGCCCGUUUAAAACUGGGGUAUAUAAGUCCGACCCGAGGUUAGCCCUUAGCCUUUGAGGUUUGACCAAGGCCGACUAAUAUCCUAAUUAUUAAUUCUACAAAGAAACACGACUCUCUCAUUGUAAUGAUCUCCAUCAUGAUGUCAAAUUUCAAAACUUAGUCAAAGACCUUAUCAUAUUAAUCAAAUAACUUGAUAUAACUAUGAAAAAGAAUAUUGACAUUUAUAUCGAAUAACAUUUAUAAGAUACGUUCGAAUCAUCAUAUAUGAGAUUGGAUCUAUGGCAUAUCCACUACAUCCCUAACAACGAUCAUGUUGGUAUAUUCUAUAUAUCUUUCUUUUAUGACCGUGGUGUUCUAGCCAGUUUUCUUGCACCUCAACUAAUUUAACAAAAUACACCAGACAAACAAAUUAAAACGGAGAGUGUAUGACAAAAGUUUGAUAGUUGUUAAAACCUUCAACUUGUCUAGGUGAAAAGCAGGAUUGAGAAUUCUUCUAUGUGUGGCCCAUUUAUCUUCUUCAUAGGAAGCAAUGCCACCUAUUGCCAACUUAGAUAAUGGACUGCUUGUAGCCUUGUGAUAAAUGUAGUUCUUUGUUAGCACCUCCCUUAUAAGUUCUGGCUCUGUAAUGAGCACUGCUAGUUUUGGUCCGAGCCACACAAAACAAUUCUUACCUACAAAUUCAAGUGAAAGUCAAAAUUAAGCAAUAUAACGACGACUUAAGUAGUGGCGGAACCAGAAUUUUCACUAAGAAGUGUCAAAAUAUGAAGAAGUAAAUUCACGAAAAAAACAAGAGGUGUCAAGAUGUAAUUCUCCAACGAAGGGGUGUUGGUCGAUACCUCUCAAGCAUAUUUGGCGCAACUGGUAAAGUUGUUGUCAUGUGACUAGAAGUCACGGGUUCAAGUUGUGGAAACAAUCUAUUGUAGAAAUUCAAAGUAAAUCCUUGUUGUUCGCCCUUCCCCCGACCUCGUGCAUAGCGCACUGGAAUGCCCUUUUAUUAUUAAAAAAAAAAUAGCUAGAUUUGUAUAUAUUUUAUAGAAAAUAUCUACUGUAUGUAUGUAUGUAUGUAUGUUUUUUGGUUAAAGUGUGUGUAUGUUAAUUGUAUGGAUGCCUCUAAUAAUGUUUUGAAAAGAAAUGUUACACUGUUAUACAAUUACAAAGUUCGACUAUAUAUUUUAUAGUUACCUACACAUUAAAAUGAAAACUACACAAAACAAUUCUGAAUUACCCCAUAUUAAAAUGAAGAACCUAAAUGCAUAAGUAAAUUCAAAAUUUGACUAUAUGUUUUAUUAUGAUUUCAAGUAAACAUACAGUAUUGUGUUCGAAGUAAUAUAAAUUUAGAUAUUUAAUGAAUAUCUCAAUAAUAUACAAAAGUGGUAAAUGACAAUGUGGCCUAACAAAAAGUAGGGACGAAUUGCAACUGUGUUUAGUUAUUUUAUACUGAAUAUGUUUAUACCACAAAAGUUUGACUGACAUAUUUAACGAGCAUAAAGACGUUUUACAUAAUCAAAUAAUCACUUAAUUAAAAGUCAACUGCAAAAUAUUAUUUUAUUUCACCAUUUGUACUAAAAUUAUGGAAAUAGUAUUCCAUAUGAAAGGUAGAAUAAAAUAGUUUCAUGAAAUAUCCUAACUUAUCCCAUCUCAUGUACCAAAAGGUCCCUGAAGUAUAAAUUAGAAGUCGUUUGGUUUGGAAAUUGUUAUCCCGCGAUAACUGAUUAUCCCGGGAUAAAAUAAAAGAACACAUUUUCCUUUGUUUGGUUGAAGGGAUUAAUCCAACCCGGGAUAACUUAUCCCACCAUUUUCCCCUUAGUCCCGGGAAAACUUAUCCCAUAUACAUGGUGGGAUAAGUUAUCCCAGGAUAACAAUUUUCAAACCAAACGACCCUAUAUAUAGAAUUCAACUUCUAUUUCUAUACAUUGGCAAUAUAAAUAUUCUAUAGAAAUUGACCAAACAUCACAUGAUACAUGCUGAUGAAAACCAUUUAGAACUUGUAUGAGGUCAUCGACGAUGAAGCUUAUCCCCCAUCCUCUUACCAAAUCAGCUAAAAGAUAACAAAUAAUUACUACUAUACAUAAUAAGAUUUGAAUUGUGAAGUCAUACCAUAUUUUUUGAUGGUUUUUUGGAUGAAGGGGCUUAUACUAGGCCAAAUCAAGUCAUGUGAGAAAUUAACAGGCUUAGACAUAGCUUCUUCACUCAUCUUCUUCAUCUCUUUCAUAUCUCCAUACAAUAACUUGUAAGAAUUUCCUUUGAAACCUUGUUGUCUUAGGCAUUUCUCCAACUUUUUUGGUUUGAACCAAACAUAAUUCAAGAUUCUCCAUGCCCAUCUCAAUACAAAGAUAAUUGUAAGUGAAAAUAUUGCAAUUUUUAUGUUGUAGUAUGAUAUCUCCAUAUUGAAAUGAAGGUCUUAUCUUACACUCACUAGCAUACACUUAGCUCUAUUUGGUCUUUAUUAUGGCAUUAGUAUCC